rnacentral:lncRNA from 1 species
GCCCAGUCGCCAGGGAGAGUGAAUACAGCUAGGGACGUGAAAGAACGGGGAAGAUAACUGAAGGGUGGUUUGAGAAACCCACCAGGCCAACUGGGAAUUAGAAUUGAUUCAAAACUCUGUUGAUCGCCUGACCUCCAUAAGCUCCUACUCUGCUGCAGUUAGUUGAGUGCUGCCACUUAAAUCCUGCAGUCCCGAGAUCCGGUUAUAACCAAUGCAUUUAGAUUUUUCAUUUCGGUGGCAACAAUCUUCAUCGUAAGUUCUGUCCUACAGAGAAGUGUGGUGAUCAAGCUCUUCGGAGAUACUGGGACUCCUCUCACAAAUAUGCUUCUUCUUAGAGACAAGGCCUCACUCCAUUGCCCCUAGGCCAGGCCUGGUGAGUGACAGCAGCCCUGGUGCCCCAGCCUGCUAGGGCAACGUGUCACCCAGAGGCUUCGAGGCCCUCCUCACCAUGGUACCCACCUCCUCGAAGCUGCCUCCCAAAGCCCUCUAGCUGCUGCUGCAGCCGCAACAAGUGCCACCACCAGGGGCCUUCCAGCUGCCAGUGCAGGCUUUCCAGAGCUGGGGAUUGGGGAACCUGCAGUCAUCGCCUCAGCAACUCUGGUGGCAGCCAGGCCAGCCAGGGCAGUGAUGAUGACUCUGUAAUGAAAAGUGGGAUGACAGCUCCACACUGGUGGAUGAGUUGAGAACACCAGGCAGAGGCAUGUACCUGGUCUUUGAAGGUUCAGUGGAC